GGCCGUGCUCAGGGGCGUCUCCACCAUGGCCUGGGCUCUGCUCCUCCUCACCCUCCUGUCCCAAAGCAUAGGGUUCUGGGCCCAGUCUGCCUUGACUCAGCCUUCCUCAGUGUCUGGGGCUCUGGGAGAGAAGGUCACCCUCUCCUGUGUUGGAAGCAGCAAUGACAUUGGGAGAUAUAAUCUUGUCUCCUGGUACCAACAGCAUCCAGGCAGCCUCCCCAAACUUCUGAUCUAUGCUGUCAGUUCCCGGCCCUCUGGGAUCUCCACUCGCUUUUCUGGCUCCAAGUCUGGGAACACGGCCUCCAUGACCAUCUCUGAGCUCCAGGACGAGGAUGAAGCUGAUUAUUUCUGCAACUCAUAUGCUGGUAGUGGUAUUUUGCACAGUGGGCCAAGCCUAUGGGGAAGCGAGACCAAAACCUGCCCUGAGCUCACAGGCUCCUCCCUGGCUCUGCAGAUGCCUCCUCAGCCCUGA